GUCUAUAAUUAGUCCCUAUUUAUAAGAGGAAGGACUAGGGUUUCUUGGGAGAGGGGGCACCUCCUUUCAUAUGCCAAAAAAUUUUUGGCAUCAAGAAAAAGCGGCAAACAAUUGGUGUGAGAAAUCAGAUCUAAUUUCUCACGCCCAUAUUACUCCACACCCAAGAGAGGAAUCUGGUUGUUGGUGCCACCUAGUUGCCAUAAAAAAUAGAUUAGAUUCCCUUCUUAUCUAUAUCCUUUGAUUUGAAUCAAAUUCAAACUAGAAAAGAGAUUAAGAGAUAAGGUGGAUGAGUCAUCAACCAAAUACCUGCCAA
rnacentral:lncRNA from 1 species